rnacentral:rRNA from 1 species
UACGUAGGUGGCAAGCGUUGUCCGGAAUUAUUGGGCGUAAAGCGCGCGCAGGCGGUCCUUUAAGUCUGAUGUGAAAGCCCACGGCUCAACCGUGGAGGGUCAUUGGAAACUGAAAGGCUUGAGUACAGAAGAGGAAAGCGGAAUUCCACGUGUAGCGGUGAAAUGCGUAGAGAUGUGGAGGAACACCAGUGGCGAAGGCGGCUUUCUGGUCUGUAACUGACGCUGAGGCGCGAAAGCGUGGGGAGCAAACAGG